rnacentral:rRNA from 1 species
AGUGAACGCUGGCGGUAGGCCUAACACAUGCAAGUCGAACGGCAGCACAGUAAGAGCUUGCUCUUACGGGUGGCGAGUGGCGGACGGGUGAGGAAUACAUCGGAAUCUACUUUUUCGUGGGGGAUAACGUAGGGAAACUUACGCUAAUACCGCAUACGACCUACGGGUGAAAGAAGGGAACCUUCGGACCUGCCGCGUUUAAAGGACCGGAUGUCGGAUUAGCUAGUUGGCGGGGUAAAGGCCCACCAAGGCGACGAUCCGUAGCUGGUCUGAGAGGAUGAUCAGCCACACUGGAACUGAGACACGGUCCAGACUCCUACGGGAGGCAGCAGUGGGGAAUAUUGGACAAUGGGCGCAAGCCUGAUCCAGCCAUACCGCGUGGGUGAAGAAGGCCUUCGGGUUGUAAAGCCCUUUUGUUGGGAAAGAAAAGCAGCAGGUUAAUACCCCGCUGUUCUGACGGUACCCAAAGAAUAAGCACCGGCUAACUUCGUG